rnacentral:tRNA from 1 species
UGGGGCGUCGAGUACCUGCUGCUUCGUUCGGGACGAAGAGGCCGCAGGUUCAAAUCCUGUCACCCCGA